AGCGGCUUCUGGGCGCGGAUCUUAAUGGCUGCCGGAAUCCGGAAAUAACAUUCGGGGCCAAGAUGGCGGCGGCGGCCGUGCUGGGCUGCGUCGCUAAGAGACACUCGGCCGCCUGGAGAGGCCAGAUGCACUCCUGCCGUUCUGCAGCCUCCGUUCUAGUGAAACCAGGGGUUGUGUCCUCAUUUCACUAGGCACCAGGAGCAGAAACACAGGCUUGAAAAGAUUCUGGCAAAAAGCAGCGUGGAAUCACUGACUUGGACAGGAUGGAUUCGCCAUAAAUUUACGAAGUCAAGAAUUCCAGCUUCAGUAUUUCAGCCACGGCCUUCAGAUCAUGAAAAAUAUGGAGGUGAUCCUCAGCAGCCUCACAAACUGCAUCUUGUCACUAGAAUCAAAAGUGGAAUAGGUCGUCCAUACUGG